AUUGAACGCUGGCGGCAGGCUUAACACAUGCAAGUCGAGCGGAGCGAGGGUGCUUGCACCUUAGCUUAGCGGCGGACGGGUGAGUAAUGCUUAGGAAUCUGCCUAUUAGUGGGGGACAACAUUCCGAAAGGAAUGCUAAUACCGCAUACGCCCUACGGGGGAAAGCAGGGGAUCUUCGGACCUUGCGCUAAUAGAUGAGCCUAAGUCGGAUUAGCUAGGUGGUGGGGUAAAGGCCUACCAAGGCGACGAUCUGUAGCGGGUCUGAGAGGAUGAUCCGCCACACUGGGACUGAGACACGGCCCAGACUCCUACGGGAGGCAGCAGUGGGGAAUAUUGGACAAUGGGCGGAAGCCUGAUCCAGCCAUGCCGCGUGUGUGAAGAAGGCCUUUUGGUUGUAAAGCACUUUAAGCGAGGAGGAGGCUACUUAGAUUAAUACCUAGAGAUAGUGGACGUUACUCGCAGAAUAAGCACCGGCUAACUCUGUGCCAGCCGCCGCCGUAAUAC
rnacentral:rRNA from 1 species